GAUGAACGCUAGCUACAGGCUUAACACAUGCAAGUCGAGGGGCAGCGGUAUCGAAAGCUUGCUUUCGGUAGCCGGCGACCGGCGCACGGGUGAGUAACGCGUAUCGAACCUGCCUCAUACUCGGGAAUAGCCUUGCGAAAGUAAGAUUAAUGCCCGGUGUUUUCAGAGUCCCGCAUGAGGCUUUGAACAAAGAUUUAUCGGUAUGAGAUGGCGAUGCGUCCCAUUAGCUUGUUGGCGGGGUAACGGCCCACCAAGGCAUCGAUGGGUAGGGGUUCUGAGAGGAAGGUCCCCCACAUUGGAACUGAGACACGGUCCAAACUCCUACGGGAGGCAGCAGUGAGGAAUAUUGGUCAAUGGGCGGAAGCCUGAACCAGCCAAGUAGCGUGCAGGAAGACGGCCCUCCGGGUUGUAAACUGCUUUUAGUCGGGAAUAAAACGGGGCUCGUGAGCCCCCUUGCAUGUACCAUCAGAAAAAGGACCGGCUAAUUCCGU
rnacentral:rRNA from 1 species